AUUGAACGCUGGCGGCAGGCUUAACACAUGCAAGUCGAACGAGUGGCGGACGGGUGAGUAAUGCUUGGGAAUCUAGCUUCUGGAGGGGGAUAACUACGGGAAACUGUAGCUAAUACCGCGUACCAUAGGAUGAGCCCAAGGGGGAUUAGCUAGUUGGUGAGGUAAAGGCGCACCAAGCCGACGAUCUCUAGCUGGUCUGAGAGGAUGACCAGCCACACGUGAACGGAGACACGGCCCAGAUUCCUACGGAAGGCAGCAGUGGGGAAUAUUGCGCAAUGGGGGCAACCUGACGCAGCCAUGCCGCGUGUAUGAAGAAGGCCUUCGGGUGGUAAAGUUCUUUCAGUAGCGAGGCGUUAACUACAGAAGAAGCACCGGCUAACUCCGUGCCAGCAGCCGCGGUAAUUC
rnacentral:rRNA from 1 species